GCGGGUGUGGCGGAAUGGCAGACGCGCUGGUCUUAGGAGCCAGUUCCAACCGGAGUAAGGGUUCAAGUCCCUUUGCCCGCACCA
rnacentral:tRNA from 1 species